rnacentral:rRNA from 1 species
AUUGAACGCUGGCGGCAUGCCUAACACAUGCAAGUCGAGCGGAGCGGCGGACGGGUGAGUAAUUCCUAGUAAUCUGCCUGGUAGUUGUGGAUAACGUCCGGAAACGGGCGCUAAUACCGCAUACUAUCAGAUGAGCCUAGGUCGGAUUAGCUAGUUGGUGGGGUAAAGGCCUACCAAGGCGACGAUCCUGAACUGGUCUGAGAGGAUAAUCAGUCACACUGGAACUGAGAGACGGUCAAGACCCCUACGGGAGGCAGCAGUGGGGAAUAUUGGACAAUGGGCGAAAGCCUGCUCCAGCCAUGCGGCGUGUGUGAAGAAGGUGUUGGGAUUGUAAAGCACUUUAAGUUGGGAGGCGUUACCAACAGAAUAAGCGCCGGCUAACUUCGUGCCAGCCGCCGCGGUAAUUC